rnacentral:rRNA from 1 species
GCAUAACGCGAAGAACCUUACCCACCUUUGACAUGUACGGAAUCCUUUAGAGAUAGAGGAGUGCUCGAAAGAGAGCCGUAACACAGGUGCUGCAUGGCUGUCGUCAGCUCGUGUCGUGAGAUGUUGGGUUAAGUCCCGCAACGAGCGCAACCCUUGCCAUUAGUUGCUACAUUUAGUUGAGCACUCUAAUGGGACUGCCGGUGACAAACCGGAGGAAGGUGGGGAUGACGUCAAGUCCUCAUGGCCCUUAUAGGUGGGGCUACACACGUCAUACAAUGGCUGGUACAAAGGGUUGCCAACCCGCGAGGGGGAGCUAAUCCCAUAAAGCCAGUCGUAGUCCGGAUCGCAGUCUGCAACUCGACUGCGUGAAGUCGGAAUCGCUAGUAAUCGCGAAUCAGAAUGUCGCGGUGAAUACGUUCCCGGGUCUUGUACACACCG